UACAGAGGUGGCAAGCGUUGUUCGGAAUUACUGGGCGUAAAGGGCGCGUAGGCGGCCUUCUAAGUCAGACGUGAAAUCCCCCGGCUUAACCUGGGAACUGCGUCUGAUACUGGGAGGCUUGAGUAUGGGAGAGGGAUGUAGAAUUCCAGGUGUAGCGGUGAAAUGCGUAGAUAUCGGAAGGAACAUCAGUGGCGAAGGCGACUUCCUGGACCAAUACUGACGCUCAGGUGCGAAGGCGUGGGGAGCAAACAGG
rnacentral:rRNA from 1 species